CGCCCUCAGCACCCCCCUUCCCCAGUUCCUAGAUACGCCCCUGAUGAUGGUACUAUACUCCCAAUAGAUAUCAGUGAAGAGUUAAUGGAGAGAUGUCUUUAUACUGGUACAUGUACACCACCUGAUCUUGUCAUUAGAACAUGAGGAGAAGUGAGAUUAAGUGACUUCCUUAUAUGGCAGAGCUCUUAUUCUUGUCUCUGUUUUCAAGAU